ACCUUACCUAUUGUUGCUUCGGCGGA
rnacentral:rRNA from 1 species